CUAUAAGUCUCCUGAAGGAACGUUGAAGACGACGACGUUGAUAGGCCGGGUGUGUAAGCGCAGCGAUGCGUUGAGCUAACCGGUACUAAUGAACCGUGAGGCUUAACCUU
rnacentral:rRNA from 1 species